GAUGAACGCUGGCGGCGUGCCUAAUACAUGCAAGUCGAGCGAACAGACGAGGAGCUUGCUCCUCUGACGUUAGCGGCGGACGGGUGAGUAAAACGUGGAUAACCUACCUAUAAGACUGGGAUAACUUCGGGAAACCGGAGCUAAUACCGGAUAAUAUAUUGAACCGCAUGGUUCAAUAGUGAAAGACGGUUUUGCUGUCACUUAUAGAUGGAUCCGCGCCGCAUUAGCUAGUUGGUAAGGUAACGGCUUACCAAGGCAACGAUGCGUAGCCGACCUGAGAGGGUGAUCGGCCACACUGGAACUGAGACACGGUCCAGACUCCUACGGGAGGCAGCAGUAGGGAAUCUUCCGCAAUGGGCGAAAGCCUGACGGAGCAACGCCGCGUGAGUGAUGAAGGUCUUCGGAUCGUAAAACUCUGUUAUUAGGAAAGAACAAAUGUGUAAGUAACUAUGCACGUCUUGACGGUACCUAAUCAGAAAGCCACGGCUAACUACGUG
rnacentral:rRNA from 1 species